CCCCUCUUGGAACCGCACCUGGAGAGUUUGCAUUACUCUACCAGUCUCGGCUACAGGAGGGAGAGUCAAGCAGAAGCCUGCCCAUUCCAUUCCUAGCUCGGGCAGCGGCUAGCGAUUGGAAGGCGAUCUGCUACAAGU